UUGAAAGGGAAACGAUUGAAGUCAGUCAUGUUGGUAGGGAAUCAACUUGAUGGUAUGCGGGUUUACUCGUGUUCUUUUGAGUGCACUUCCUUACUUGCUAGUUAGCAUCAAUUUUGGUUAUCAUAUAAAAAUUGAGGGAAGGUGGCUUUUCUUCGGAAAAGUGUUAUAGACCUUGAUUAUUGUGGUGACCGGGAUUGAGGAUUGCAGCGGAUACCCUUUUGGGCUAGUCACCUGGCUUCUGAUAAUUACCCUGCCUUUGAUAGCUUGCUGACGUUGGUGGGACUCGAUUGUCUAGAUGUUAGAGUGAUCAUAAAUUCGUUAAGGAUGUUGACGUA
rnacentral:rRNA from 1 species